UACGUAGGGUGCGAGCGUUGUCCGGAAUUACUGGGCGUAAAGCGUGCGUAGGUGGUUUGUUAAGUCAGAUGUGAAAGCCCCGGGCUCAACCUGGGAAUUGCAUUUGAGACUGCGUAGCUAGGGUGCGGAAGAGGGAAGCGGAAUUUCCGGUGUAGCGGUGAAAUGCGUAGAUAUCGGAAGGAACACCAGUGGCGAAAGCGGCUUCCUGGUCCAGCACCGACGUUCAGGCACGAAAGCGUGGGGAGCAAACAGG
rnacentral:rRNA from 1 species